rnacentral:lncRNA from 1 species
CCACUUUCAGCCCAAGAAUGCAUUUCAAAUAAACAACGGAUAAUAUAGUGAGUAUAUGUACAUAACUACCAGCAUUCGAGUAACAUGUGCAACAGUACAUCAAAAUUCUCAACAAAUUUAGCAUUACAAGUCAAUAACAUAUAAAGCAAGUCGCUAACUGGGGCUUCAAGCUUUCUCUGAAUAUCUUCAGGUAGAAUUCCUGUAAAUGAGAGGAACAUCCACAUGUUUAGAGUCUCAACAUAGGCAAUAUUUGUUAGCAAUAAAAUAGAAAAAUUAAUUCAAGAACCGUGCAAGAGCCUAGGUUUUACUAUCAUUUUGACACCUUAGAGUAACAUCCAAGAAUACCGCGAGUUGAUGCAUUAUUCUAGCAUAACCAAAUUUGAAACAACCCUUGUUGUUCUAUUUUAACCUUACUACUACCUCUGUUCCUAAAUAUAUGAGAUCUUGGUUCAUUUCAGUAAUUUAGAAAGAGGGGUGAUGGGGCACAAAACCUUGAGCCAUUGUUGUGGGGUUGUGGCUGAUGAAGGUUACCUUUUGGGGCCCCAACGGCAGCUCCGCCAGAUGCAACAGCAACACCUCCAACAACCACAGCAGCAGCACCACCAAUAGUGACCUGCAUGGCAUUUCAGAUCAUCAUUACA